UAAUAGAAGCCAAAAAGAGGCUAUUCACUGUUAAUGAAUUUAUUGUCAUUCCUAUU
rnacentral:tRNA from 1 species